GAUGAACGCUGGCGGCGUGCCUAAUACAUGCAAGUCGAGCGAACAGAUAAGGCGCUUGCUUCUUUGACGUUAGCGGCGGACGGGUGAGUAACACGUGGGUAACCUACCUAGAAGACUGGGAUAACUUCGGGAAACCGGAGCUAAUACCGGAUAACAUUUGGAACCGCAUGGUUCUAAAGUGAAAGAUGGUUUUGCUAUCACUUAUAGAUGGACCCGCGCCGUAUUAGCUAGUUGGUAAGGUAACGGCUCACCAAGGCGACGAUACGUAGCCGACCGGAGAGGGUGAUCGGCCACACUGGAACUGAGACACGGUCCAGACUCCUACGGGAGGCAGCAGUAGGGAAUUUUCCGCAAUGGGCGAAAGCCUGACGGAGCAACGCCGCGUGAGUGAUGAAGGGUUUCGGCUCGUAAAACUCUGUUAGUAGGGAAGAACAAACGUGUAAGUAAAUGUGCAGGUCUUGACGGUACCUAAUCAAAAAGCACCGGCUAACUACGUG
rnacentral:rRNA from 1 species